rnacentral:lncRNA from 1 species
AAGGAGGGGAUUUUUUUUUUUUUUUUGAGAAUCCAGAGCUUUUAUUGUCUGCCUUCCUGUUCUCAGCUGAACCCCUAGCCCCAGAGCCCCCAGCAGGGCCGGCUCUAAGGUGGAUCGCGCUGUCAAGAUGAGACCAACCACCUAAGGAAGGAGCUAGAGAGUGUGGGAAGACAGCUCCAGGCUGAGGUGGAAAACAAUCAGAUGUUGAGUCUCCUGAACAGGAGACAGGAGGAGAGGCUACGUGAACAGGAGGAGAGGCUACGUGAACAGGAGGAGAGGCUACGUGAACAGAAGCUGCCAGGGCAGUAGAGGCUGCUGGAAGAGGUGGAGACGCUGUUAGAACAGGAGAGGCAGUAGGAGGAGCAGGAGAGGCUGCUGGAGAGGGAGAGGCUGCUGGACGAGGUGGAGGAGCUCCUGGAGCAGGAGAGGCUUCGGCAAGAGCAUGAGAGGCUGUGGCAGCAGGAGACUCUGCGGGAGCUGGAGAGGGUGCCGGUGCUGGAGAGGAUGCUGGAGCUGGGUUGGGAAGCCCUCUAUGAGCAGAGGGCGGAGUCACACAGCAGCUUCAAGGAGCUGGUGCAUUGCCCCACCUGGGGAGGCUGCCCUCUUCCCUAGCCCUCAAGGCCUUUGUUUCCCCACCUGUAAAAUGGGGCAUUGUAGCCUUCACAUGAAAUGGUACUUCUAAAGGCACCUGUGAGCUGGAGCUCUGCUCUGAUGGCUGUGGGAGAGAGGGGAUGAUUUUUCUAAACUGCCUCCAUCUUUCCCGGUGCCAUGGGAGGCAGACACUAAGUUCUGGGGUCUCCAGUUUUAGUGGGUGGCCACUGAUUGCUUCUCUCUGUCCAGAACAACGAGAACAAGAGCACACUGCAGUUGGAGCAGCAAGUAAAGGAGCUGAAGAAGUCGGGACUCCCCAGGAGCACCCAGGCUUGGGUGGAGAAGCUGUUGGUACAGGAGAGGCAGCAGGAGGAGCAGGAGAUGCUGCAUGCCAUUCUUUUUGGGCUGCCGAGAACAGGGAGAUAAACAUCACCAUCAUCUAAGAGCUGGUCAAGAAAUUAAAAAAAAAAAAAGUUAAGGGGUUAAUCUCCCACACAAUUCAUUUACUUCAUUUGAAAGUUAGAGCAACUUACAUUUAUUUGUGUUUCUAAUUUAUAGUUUAAAUUUAUUUGUUUCUAAUUUAUAGUUUAAAUUUAUUUGUGUUUCUAAUUUAUAGUUUAAAUUUAUUUGUAAAAAGUUAAAUGAGAGUGGGUCUUUCCCUCAUGUUCACUCUGGCAUCCUUUAGCAUUUUUUAAAAUUUGAUAAUUAUAGGACGUUAGCAUGCAUAUCAAGUUUGCCCUUAUGUGGUGGGAGUUCAAAAACCCAAAG